UACGGAGGGUGCGAGCGUUGUCCGGAAUCACUGGGGCGUAAAGGGCGCGUAGGUGGCGCGAGGAGUCUGUGGUGAAAGCCCGAGGCUCAACUUCGGGUCGGCCGCGGAUACUCUCGUGCUGGAGGGUGGUAGAGGCCAAUGGAAUUCCGGGUGUGAGCGGUGGAAUGCGUAGAGAUCCGGAAGAACACCGGUGGCGAAGGCGGUUGGCUGGGC
rnacentral:rRNA from 1 species